UGUAUAUACCAGGCACUGGCAUAGGCCCUC
rnacentral:piRNA from 1 species